UACGUAGGGGGCUAGCGUUGUCCGGAUUUAUUGGGCGUAAAGAGCGUGUAGGCGGCCAGGUAGGUCUGGUGUGAAAACUCGAGGCUUAACCUCGAGAUGUCAUCGGAAACCAUUUGGCUAGAGUCCGGAAGAGGAGAGUGGAAUUCCUGGUGUAGCGGUGAAAUGCGUAGAUAUCAGGAGGAACACCGGUGGCGAAGGCGCACAUCUGGCCCGAUACUGACGCUGAGGCGCGAAAGCUAGGGGAGCAAACGGG
rnacentral:rRNA from 1 species